rnacentral:rRNA from 1 species
GAUGAACGCUAGCGGCAGGCCUAAUACAUGCAAGUCGGACGGGAUUGGAGAGCUUGCUUUCCAUGAGAGUGGCGCACGGGUGCGUAACACGUAUGUAACCUACCUUGUUCAGGGGGAUAGCCUCUCGAAAGAGAGAUUAAGACCGCAUAACAUUGCGAUGUGGCAUCACAUUGUAAUCAAAUAAUUAUAGGAAAAAGCUGGGCAUGCGGAACAUUAGCUAGUUGGUAAGGUAACGGCUUACCAAGGCUACGAUGUUUAGGGGAUCUGAGAGGAUGACCCCCCACACUGGUACUGAGACACGGACCAGACUCCGACGGCAGGCAGCAGUAAGGAAUAUUGGUAAAUGGGCGGAAGCCUGAACCAGCCAUGCCGAGUGCAGGAAGUCGGCCCUAUGGGUUGUAAACUGCUUUUGCAGGGGAAUAAACCUUGGUACGUGUACCAAGCUGAAUGUACUCUGAGAAUAAGGAUCGGCUAACUCCGUGCCAGCAGCCGCGGUAA